CCAGAGCAGCAAUGUGGAGUGAGUGAUUAAAUUCUUUUUGUCUUUUCAAUCAGAGCUUUCACAUAAAGAGUAAAGAGCAUCUCUACUUGCUGCAAAUCUGGGUGUCUUGACAGACGGAUUUAAUUCGACCUCGCUUUCUGCCUGAUGUGGAGUGACAUGCAAUACAGGCUGGUCUGGCAUAUCAGAUGGAUGAAAUUGCAUGUGGGGCUUUUUGGCUUCCACCUCCUCCCUCUUCUCUGAUCUUAGGCAAGAAUGGAGGUGCAAGGUACUGCAUCUGGUCCCCAGGAAUGAAGAUUUGAAAAUGUGGUGAAUAGCAGAGGAAAGAAAAAAAAAUGAGAACAUAAUUGGAUGGAAGCAAUGAACUGCAUUUUCAGAAUUAGUCAAGAUUAGGCAAAAUGCUGGGGUUCUUAGUUCCAGCACUAUUUACAUUUUGAGUUGGGUCCAUGUGAUAACCAACAAUAUCUUCAGAUAUUUGCCAAAUGUCAUCUGGAAGGCAAAAUAGUC
rnacentral:lncRNA from 12 species